UGGGCUGUAGCUCAGUAGCAGAGCACUUGCCUAGCAAGUAUGAGACACUGGGUUCGAUCCUUAGCACCACUU
rnacentral:tRNA from 1 species